GAGGAUAGGCUCCUCGAAGUCGACUUCCGGGGGUAGGCUUCAAACCACCUUAAGCGGCGUUGGUGAAGAGCCAAGGUCGUGAGCGUCAAGGAAAAGGCGCUGCAAAGCGUCAGGU
rfam:Candidatus Glomeribacter gigasporarum BEG34, WGS project CAFB01000000 data, contig: Contig1550-1692